rnacentral:rRNA from 1 species
UACGUAGGGGGCUAGCGUUGUCCGGAAUCAUUGGGCGUAAAGCGCGUGUAGGCGGCCCGGUAAGUCCGCUGUGAAAGUCGGGGGCUCAACCCUCGAAAGCCGGUGGAUACUGUCGGGCUCGAGUGCGGAAGAGGCGAGUGGAAUUCCUGGUGUAGCAGUGAAAUGCGUAGAUAUCGGGAGGAAUACCGAUGGCGAAGGCAGGUCUCUGGGCUAUAACUGACGCUCAUGCACGAAAGCGUGGGGAGCAAACAGG